rnacentral:rRNA from 1 species
UACAGGGGGUGCAAACGUUGCUCGGAAUCAUUGGGCGUAAAGCGCACGUAGGCGGUCUGUUAUGUCGGAUGUGAAAGCCCUUGGCUCAACUGAGGAAGUGCAUCCGAAACUGGCAGGCUAGAGUACUAAAGAGGAUCGCGGAAUUCCCGGUGUAGAGGUGAAAUUCGUAGAUAUCGGGAGGAACACCGGUGGCGAAGGCGGCGAUCUGGGUAGAUACUGACGCUGAGACGCGAAAGCGUGGGGAGCGAACAGG